rnacentral:tRNA from 1 species
UAAAUAUCUAAAUUUUAAGUGUGUCAUUUACAAUGAUAAGAUGUUAUUUUAAUUAACUUUAUUUAUAAUUUAUUUUAUUAAUAAAUAAAUAUUUUUUUAU